UAAAAAUGCUCAGUGCGAUUGUCAUUAAUAUUAGUUGAAAAUACUUGUACAUAAAAGCUUUGAAAGACAUAAUUUUUUUUAACGAAAGGGUAUUAUUUGGCCAAAGCCUUAGCAAUGAUAAAAUCUAACAAAAGGAAGUAGACCAAAAAGUGUCGGACACCUGCCCCAACCGAAAGCCAAAGAAGUGACUUUGCCAUUGUACAUUUUCCACGAGCUUCAACGCACUGCGGUCAUUUGCAAGGCUCGGCAACAUACCCCACCACCUGUGCCAUCAUUUGCAACCGCAAAAUGGCAAAACAAUCAACAAGCAGCACGACGGGUGUGCGGCCCAAACAAGAUUUCGAGUGUCCAAACCCACCUUCAUAUCCAUUCCUACACCACCCCCAUUUCAAAACCCGAUCGGCGUGCCUCUGCUGACCGCAACAUGUUGCGGGUAAGAAAGGCGAAAUUGUUUGGGCAAAACUGCAGGGAAAUGGAUCUAACGGCGAGCGUAGGAUGUGGUGUUGGGCUUAAAGGAAGUUAUUAAAUGUUAAUUUACAAUAAAAAAAAAAGGCGUGAAAAAAGUUAAUAAAUAUUAAUUCACAUUCAAUUACCCUUAUGUAAAGGUGUAAAGCCAUAUUAGCUAUUGCCCCUAAUGUAGACUAUUAAAUGUUAAUAUGAAUAAGCUGUAUUAAUCAAAGAUUCGAUGCGCUUAACUGUAACUAAAAAGUUAUCGACACUUAUUAAGCAAUUCUUAAAAAGCCCUCAACUAGUCUAUGAAGAGCUUAUAACAAUAUGAGUUUUGGAGGCAUCUUAUUCGUUCUGGCAAUCUUGUCGCACUCACCAAGAUCUCCAACUAAAGUUGCAAAAUGUAGUCCUUUGGAUUGUAGAAACGGGGAUUAGCUAUAUUAUGACUAUAUAUGAUAAAACACUACUGCAACAAAGUACUUUGUUAGUUUAUUUAAACCUUACACUGCUGGAAAAUACACUGUUCUUCUGACACUGA